GUGACAUAUGCAUGCUGUGGGAACCAACAGUAUACACUCCUCAAGCUUUCUGCUUCGUGAACAGUCUGGAUUAUAAUUCCCCUGUGUGUGUGUGGAUCAUUACUCUCUCUCUUUCCUGGGUGUUCAUUACACGCUCCGUUUGUGUGUCCGGGUGAUUCUUGAUUGUAUACAACAGGUGUCGCGUUUGAGUAUUUAAAGUAGAUGUGAAGUAUUUUUAGAGAACGGACACCCUGAGUACAGGCGCAAGUUGCAUCGUUUGUUGAAAGAUUCUGACAACUAGGAACAAGGGAAGGAGUAUGAGGAAAUUCAUUUUGAGGACUUCUUGGGAGGAAGGAAACCCUUUGUUUUACUAGAGCAACUGUGUAAGAUCAAGACUAUUAACUCCUCCGAAGUUUCACCCAUGGAUUUGAGGAUACUUAAGGACACCAGGAGCAUCUAAUUGGUUAACAGGACUCAUUUAGGGAUGGAAGAUGUAAUUCUGGAUAUACCUCCAGCGGGCAGCAUUAAUGAUGGGCUUAGUUCCCAUGAUGGACUGGAGACGAUCCAAGAAGAGGGGUACGAGCCACGAGCCGGCAGCGCCAAAAAGCGGACACCGUCCCUCAAGGGCAGUGCCCGGUUUGCCCGCACCAAAGGUUCUAUACAGAAUGAUGAGAACGCCACACCUCGGGUAAG